rnacentral:rRNA from 1 species
GAUGAACGCUGGCGGCGUGCUUAACACAUGCAAGUCGAACGGAAAGGCCCAAGCUUGCUUGGGUACUCGAGUGGCGAACGGGUGAGUAACACGUGGGUGAUCUGCCCUGCACUUCGGGAUAAGCCUGGGAAACUAGGUCUAAUACCGGAUAGGACCACUUCUUGGAUGUUGUGGUGGAAAGUUUUUUCGGUGUGGGAUGAGCUCGCGGCCUAUCAGCUUGUUGGUGGGGUAAUGGCCUACCAAGGCGUCGACGGGUAGCCGGCCUGAGAGGGUGUACGGCCACAUUGGGACUGAGAUACGGCCCAGACUCCUACGGGAGGCAGCAGUGGGGAAUAUUGCACAAUGGGCGCAAGCCUGAUGCAGCGACGCCGCGUGGGGGAUGACGGCCUUCGGGUUGUAAACUCCUUUCGCUAGGGACGAAGCGUUUUGUGACGGUACCUGGAGAAGAAGCACCGGCUAACUACGUG